rfam:Camelus ferus unplaced genomic scaffold scaffold2300, whole genome shotgun sequence.
GAGGGUAUAGCUCAGUGGUAGGGUACAUGGUUAGCAUACAUGAGGUCCUGGGUUCAAUCCCUAGCACCUCCA